rnacentral:rRNA from 1 species
UACGUAGGGGUGCAAGCGUUGUCCGGAAUUAUUGGGCGUAAAGAGCUCGUAGGCGGUCUGUCGCGUCUGCUGUGAAAACUCAGGGCUUAACCCUGGGCCUGCAGUGGGUACGGGCAGACUAGAGUGCGGUAGGGGGAGACUGGAAUUCCUGGUGUAGCGGUGAAAUGCGCAGAUAUCAGGAGGAACACCGGUGGCGAAGGCGGGUCUCUGGGCCGUAACUGACGCUGAGGAGCGAAAGCAUGGGGGAGCGAACAGG